AUCCCGCCUUUGGACAGGCGGAGAUCAAAGCCGGGGACCGCAAGGCCUGGCGCUUGGAGAGGGGCCCGCGCCGGAUUAGCUAGUUGGUGAGGUAACGGCCCACCAAGGCGACGAUCCGUAGCCGGCCUGAGAGGGCGGACGGCCACACUGGGACUGAGACACGGCCCAGACUCCUACGGGAGGCAGCAGUGGGGAAUUGUUCGCAAUGGGCGCAAGCCUGACGACGCAACGCCGCGUGGAGGACGAAGAUCUUCGGAUCGUAAACUCCUGUCGAGCGGGACGAAUGGCCCGGGACCUAACACGUCUCGGGAGUGACGGUACCGCUAAAGGAAGCCCCGGCUAACUYCGUGCCAGCAGCCGCGGUAAUACGGGGGGGGCCAGCGUUGUUCGGAAUUACUGGGCGUAAAGGGCGCGUAGGCGGCCUUCUAAGUCAGACGUGAAAUCCCUCGGCUCAACCGGGGAACUGCGUCUGAUACUGGAAGGCUUGAAUCCGGGAGAGG
rnacentral:rRNA from 1 species